rnacentral:rRNA from 1 species
GGGCCCGCACAAGCGGUGGAGCAUGUGGUUUAAUUCGAUGAUACGCGAGGAACCUUACCAGGGCUUAAAUGUAGUAUGACCGGUCUAGAAAUAGGCCUUCUCUUCGGAGCAGAUUACAAGGUGCUGCAUGGUUGUCGUCAGCUCGUGCCGUGAGGUGUUAGGUUAAGUCCUGCAACGAGCGCAACCCCUAUUCUUAGUUGCCAGCGGUUCGGCCGGGGACUCUAAGAAGACUGCCAGCGCAAGCUGAGAGGAAGGUGGGGAUGACGUCAAAUCAUCACGGCCCUUACGUCCUGGGCUACACACGUGCUACAAUGGUACAGACAGAGGGCAGCCACCUGGCGACAGGGAG